GCCCUGGUGCUGGAAUUGGUAGACAGGCACCGUUCAGAGCGGUGUAUCCGUAAGGGUGUGGGAGUUCGAGUCUCCCCCAGGGCA
rnacentral:tRNA from 2 species